rnacentral:rRNA from 1 species
GUCCACGCCUUAAACGAUGGAUGCUAGCCGUCAGCAAGCAUGCUUGUUGGUGGCGCAGCUAACGCAUUAAGCAUCCCGCCUGGGGAGUACGGCCGCAAGGUUAAAACUCAAAGGAAUUGACGGGGGCCCCGCACAAGCGGUGGAGCAUGUGGUUUAAUUCGACGCAACGCGAAGAACCUUACCAGUCCUUGACAUUCUCCGGGCGGUUUCCAGAAAUGGAUUCCUCCUAGCAAUAGGUCGGAGAACAGGUGCUGCAUGGCUGUCGU